rnacentral:rRNA from 1 species
AUUGAACGCUGGCGGCAUGCCUUACACAUGCAAGUCGAACGGUAACGCGGGGCAACCUGGCGACGAGUGGCGAACGGGUGAGUAAUGCAUCGGAACGUGCCCAGUAGUGGGGGAGUAGCCCGGCGAAAGCCGGAUUAAUACCGCAUACGACCUACGGGUGAAAGCGGGGGACGUCGCAAGAGCCUCGCGCUAUUGGAGCGGCCGAUGUCAGAUUAGGUAGUUGGUGGGGUAAAAGACCUACCAAGCCGACGAUCUGUAGCUGGUCUGAGAGGACGACCAGCCACACUGGGACUGAGACACGGCCCAGACUCCUACGGGAGGCAGCAGUGGGGAAUUUUGGACAAUGGGCGCAAGCCUGAUCCAGCCAUGCCGCGUGCGGGAAGAAGGCC